GUUUACGGUCAUACCACCCUGAACAUGCCUGAUCUUGUCUGAUAGGAAGCUAAGCAGGGUUGGGCCUGGUUAGGGCUUGGAUGGGAGAAGCAAAUGAGAUAAGAAACAUGAGGAAGAUUUAGAAAUUAUAAAGU
rnacentral:rRNA from 1 species